GCUCAUUACAACAGCCAUUGCUUUCUUGGAUCUUACUUUCUACUUGGAUAACUGUGGUAAUUCUAGAGCUAAUACACGCACACAAGUUCCGACGUAAGGAGGAACGCAUUUAUUAGAACUAAACCAAUCGGGCUUGCCCGUUGUUUGGUGAAUCUGAAUAACUCCGCAGAUCGCAUGGUCUAGCACCGGCGACAUAUCUUUCAAGUGUCUGCCUUAUCAACUUUCGAUGGUAGUUUAUGUGACUACCAUGGUUGUUACGGGUAACGGAGAAUUAGGGUUCGACUCCGGAGAGGGAGCCUGAGAAACGGCUACCACAUCCAAGGAAGGCAGCAGGCGCGCAAAUUACCCACUCUCGGCAUGAGGAGGUAGUGACGAAAAAUAACGAGACAGUUCUCUUUGAGGUCUGUCAUCGGAAUGGGUACAACCCAAACCCUUUAACGAGGAUCUAUUGGAGGGCAAGUCUGGUGCCAGCAGCCGCGGUAAUUCCAGCUCCA
rnacentral:rRNA from 1 species